rnacentral:rRNA from 1 species
ACUCCUACGGGAGGCAGCAGUGAGGAAUAUUGGACAAUGGGUGGAAGCCUGAUCCAGCCAUCCCGCGUGCAGGAAGACGGCCCUCUGGGUUGUAAACUGCUUUUAUCUGGGGAUAAACCUACUUACGUGUAAGUAGCUGAAGGUACCAGAAGAAUAAGCACCGGCUAACUCCGUGCCAGCAGCCGCGGUAAUACGGAGGGUGCAAGCGUUAUCCGGAUUUAUUGGGUUUAAAGGGUCCGUAGGCGGACUGAUAAGUCAGUGGUGAAAUCCGACAGCUUAACUGUCGAACUGCCAUUGAUACUGUUAGUCUUGAGUAAGGUUGAAGUGGCUUGAAUAAGUAGUGUAGCGGUGAAAUGCAUAGAUAUUACUUAGAACACCAAUUGCGAAGGCAGGUCACUAAGUCUUAACUGACGCUGAUGGACGAAAGCGUGGGGAGCGAACAGGAUUAGAAACCCGUGUAGUCCC